AUUGAACGCUGGCGGCAUGCCUUACACAUGCAAGUCGAACGGCAGCGGGGGAGAAGCUUGCUUUUCCUGCCGGCGAGUGGCGAACGGGUGAGUAAUACAUCGGAACGUGCCCUGUAGUGGGGGAUAACUAGUCGAAAGAUUAGCUAAUACCGUAUACGACCUGAGGGUGAAAGUGGGGGACCGCAAGGCCUCAUGCUAUAGGAGCGGCCGAUGUCUGAUUAGCUAGUUGGUGGGGUAAAGGCCUACCAAGGCGACGAUCAGUAGCUGGUCUGAGAGGACGAUCAGCCACACUGGGACUGAGACACGGCCCAGACUCCUACGGGAGGCAGCAGUGGGGAAUUUUGGACAAUGGGCGAAAGCCUGAUCCAGCAAUGCCGCGUGUGUGAAGAAGGCCUUCGGGUUGUAAAGCACUUUUGUCCGGAAAGAAAUGGCUCUGGUUAAUACCUGGGGUCGAUGACGGUACCGGAAGAAUAAGGACCGGCUAACUACGUGCCAGCCGCCGCGGUAA
rnacentral:rRNA from 1 species